UCCGCGAACAGUGCCGCGACUAGCCUUAAACGGUGGAGCGCCGGAGGUAAACACCGGCGGCGUUUGGUUUUAGGCCUCGGAAUUUCCUUCUGGGCUCCGUUCAUGAAUAUGUCCGGUUCACUGGUCGGCGCCAAAUCCUUCGUUGCAUCUGCCAGGCCGAAGAAUUCUGUGGAAGAGGUAAUAUUUUAAGCUCCAAUCUCAACUUUUUCCUAUUCAGUGAAGAAAAUUCGUUUUUAUUACAAUACCUUUGCAAAAAAAAUUCGGGAAUUCGUUUUUCAACUACUUGAAAACGAAAACUAGAGAGUCACCAAUUUUUUUUUGGCUUUCUUCUGAAUUUGAGCUGUCGGGUGAAAUUCGUUUGGAAUUUGUGACGAUCAUUCAAAUUUCUCUUAAUUCUCUCUAUCUCUCUGAAGAUUUUGAAGAACGUGGAGUGGCCAGAGAAAUUUCCAUUCAGG
rnacentral:lncRNA from 1 species